CCUACGGGUGGCAGCAGUGGGGAAUAUUGCACAAUGGGCGAAACCCUGAUCCAGCGACGCCGCGUGAGUGAAGAAGUAUUUCGGUAUGUAAAGCUCUAUCAGCAGGGAAGAUAAUGACGGUACCUGACUAAGAAGCCCCGGCUAACUACGUGCCAGCAGCCGCGGUAAUACGUAGGGGGCAAGCGUUAUCCGGAUUUACUGGGUGUAAAGGGAGCGUAGGUGGCAGUGCAAGUCAGAUGGGAAAACCCGGGGCUCAACCCCGGGAGUGCAGUUGAAACUGUCGGGCUGGAGUGCAGGAGAGGUAAGCGGAAUGCGUAGUGUAGCGGUGAAAUGCAUAGAUAGUAGGAGGAACACCAGUGGCGAAGGCAGCUUACUGGAGUGUAACUGACACUGAGGCUCGAAAGCGUGGGGAGCGAACAGGAUUAGAUACCCGGGUAGUC
rnacentral:rRNA from 1 species